GGGCGCAUAGCUCAGCGGUAGAGCACUACCUUGACAUGGUAGGGGUCACAGGUUCAAUCCCUGUUGUGCCCA
rnacentral:tRNA from 1 species